rnacentral:tRNA from 2 species
GCGAAAGUGGCGGAACUGGGAGACGCGCCAGACUUAGGAUCUGGUGGCCAUAGGCCGUGGGGGUUCGAAUCCCCCCUUUCGCACCA